AUUGAACGCUGGCGGCAGGCCUAACACAUGCAAGUCGAACGAGUGGCGGACGGGUGAGUAAUGUCUGGGAAACUGCCUGAUGGAGGGGGAUAACUACUGGAAACGGUAGCUAAUACCGAAUACUAUCAGAUGAGCCCAGGUGGGAUUAGCUAGUUGGUGGGGUAACGGCUCACCAAGGCGACGCUCCCUAGCUGGUCUGAGAGGAUGACCAGCCACACUGGAACUGAGACAGGGUCCAGACUCCUCCGGGGGGCGGCAGUGGGGAAGAUUGCAAAAUGGGCGCAAGCCUGAUGCAGCCAUGCCGCGUGUAUGAAGAAGGCCUUCGGGUUGUAAAGUACUUUCAGCGGGGAGGCGUUACCCGCAGAAGAAGCACCGGCUAACUCCGUGCCAGCAGCCGCGGUAAUAC
rnacentral:rRNA from 1 species